UACGUAGGGGGCAAGCGUUGUCCGGAAUCAUUGGGCGUAAAGAGCGUGUAGGCGGCCUGGUAAGUCCGCUGUGAAAGUCCAGGGCUCAACCCUGGAAUGCCGGUGGAAACUGUCAGGCUCGAGUCCGGAAGAGGCGAGUGGAAUUCCUGGUGUAGCGGUGAAAUGCGCAGAUAUCAGGAGGAACACCAAUGGCGAAGGCAGGUCUCUGGGCAUUAACUGACGCUGAGGAGCGAAAGCAUGGGGAGCGAACAGG
rnacentral:rRNA from 1 species